rnacentral:lncRNA from 10 species
AGGGACAGGCCAGGCCUCACAGCCAAGAGCCCCGGGAAGAGCUGCAUGCACACGGCUGGAGAGAGGCUCUGCACCCGAGCACAGCCUGCUGCGACUCCUCAUAGACCCGGAAAACUGAUUAGAAGGCAGAGAGGGCCUCCUCCCUCCCUGCGUGGUUUGGGGGCUGUUCCUGAUAGCACAGAUGCCCUGAUCACAAACACCUGCCUGCAUUGCUGACCACAGGCCUGGCCUGGAGAAACCCACAGCCUCUUCAGGGAAGCGAGCAAGGGGCUUGGAAGUGCCUGAAGCCAGUGGGCUGGGGACUCACGGCCGGGACACUCAGGGCAGGCCGUGCGCCGUUUCUCCUGGAAUAACUGGAGGUGAUUUCAUGGAACCUGGAGGCUGGGCUUCAGGCUGGGGGGAGAGGCUCCAGACUGGGUCUUCUCCGUGGCUCUGCCCCCCGCUCUCCUUGCUUGAGUGGUGGGGGCCCUGCAUCCUCUCAUGCCCACCCCCACCUUUCUCGCCAAAUUGUCGGAGGCUUUUGUCACCUGGAGACACUGUUCCUGCCAGCUCCGGUCUUGGAAAACAUGGCCUCUCCUCUCCUGCCCUGGCCCCGGCCCCUCCUGCCAGCUGGACGUGGGCAUUUCUGCACCCAGUAGAACCCCACAGCCAGGAAAGAUGCCUGGAAGGCUAGAGAAGAGGCGUGAUGGGGGGACCCCAUGUGUGGCGACAGAGCAGCACACCCAGCUAUUCUCAGCCACCAUGUGGGAGAGAAAUGACGCCUCUGUCGAGCUCCCCAUGGCCGGAGCUGCUCCAUACAGCAUCCUAACCUUCACCCCCAACUACUCAGUUGCCAUGGCAAAGGGAAUAUUUUGACUCCCUUUUUUUAAAAUUUCCAGGUGAUUAUUGCUAGAGGAGUGGGAAGUUACUAAUUUUUGUAUAUUUAUCUUGUAUUAAAAUGUUUUUACUGAUUUUUAAUUUUAAUUUUAAUAUUUUUUGAGAUGGAGUUUCACUCUUCUGGCCUAGGCUGGAGUGCAGUGGUGUGAUUUCGGCUCGCUGCAACCUCCACCCAUGGGUUCAAGCGAUUCUCGUGCCUCAGACCCCCGAGUAGCUGGGAUUACAGGCAUGCACCACCACGCCCGGCUAAUUUUGUGUUUUUAGUAGAGACAGGAUUUCACUAUGUUGGUCAGGCUGGUCUCGAACUCCUGAUCUCAGGUGAUCUGCCCACCUUGGCCUCCCAAAGUGCUGGGAUUACAGGCGUGAGCCACCGCACCUGGCCUGAUUUUUAAUUUUUAAAUGAGGGAGCAGAGGCAUAACUAGGUUUACAAUCAUGUCAUCAACAAAAUA